UACGAAGGGGGCUAGCGUUGCUCGGAUUGACUGGGCGUAAAGGGCGCGUAGGCGGUUCGUACAGUCAGACGUGAAAUUCCUGGGCUCAACCUGGGGGCUGCGUUUGAUACGUGCGGACUUGAGUGCGGAAGAGGGUCGUGGAAUUCCCAGUGUAGCGGUGAAAUGCGUAGAUAUUGGGAGGAACACCAGUGGCGAAGGCGGCUCACUGGACCGGUUCUGACGCUGAGGCGCGAAAGCGUGGGGAGCAAACGGG
rnacentral:rRNA from 1 species